rnacentral:lncRNA from 1 species
UUAUAUGAUUUACGUGAGUAACACUUUUGGCUCUCAAAUUAUGUGGGUAACAUUCUGAUUCUCAAAUUUUAAUUUGUUAUAAUUUUUAACUUAAUUUUUUUUUUAUAAUUAUUAAAUCAAGUUACACAAUCCAAUUUUCUUGAUCGAAUAAUGAUGUGUUGCUGAUGUGGUAUCUUAGUCAUUAUCAUAUUAGUAACCACAGCACUACCAUAUCAACAAUACGUGACCAUUCAGUUAACUAAUAAUACAAUGAGAUUUAACUGCAAUAAUCUGGAAUGCUUGAAUCGUAAGUUGCAAUAAAUUAACGUGAAAGGGUCGAAGCGUUACAUGUACAAUAGUUUGAAGAUAAAAAAUGUAAUGUAGUGUUUUGCGUUCUUUAGUACGCCCAUAGGAUUCUUAACCUUACAACCUCAUCCUGAACUAACCUAAUAUCACUGACCGUCUCUAGAGAAAGUGGCAAAGGGUUUGGUGGUUGGUAUCCGAGAUCAAGAGGUCGGAGAAUUCGUGUUCCAGAAUAAAAAUUACUGUACUAGGCAAUGAUUUUUUAGCAAGAAAUACUCAAACCAAAUCUUUUUAUUGCGUAGAUUAAAUUUGAAUUCAAAUUCGAAUAACUAAUUAGUUUCCAUAUGUUGGCAAUUAAACUUGCCUAGUUAUCUUCCACCAUGUUUGUUCUUUCCCUCAUUGGUCCUAAAUACAAGUAAACGCUUACUAUUCCCAUUUAUUUGCUGGAUCAGGUCUACCACGUGUCUGUG